UACGGAGGAUCCGAGCGUUAUCCGGAUUUAUUGGGUUUAAAGGGUGCGCAGGCGGGAGAUUAAGUCGGCGGUGAAAUUUUGCAGCUCAACUGUAAAAGUGCCUUCGAAACUGGUUUCCUUGAGUGUAGAUGAAGUAGGCGGAAUUUGUGGUGUAGCGGUGAAAUGCAUAGAUAUCACGAGGAACUCCGAUUGCGCAGGCAGCUUACUAAAUUACAACUGACGCUUAGGCACGAAGGCGUGGGUAUCAAACAGGAUUAGAUACCCCCGUAGUCCCU
rnacentral:rRNA from 1 species